AUUGAACGCUGGCGGCAUGCCUUACACAUGCAAGUCGAACGGUAACAGGUCUUCGGAUGCUGACGAGUGGCGAACGGGUGAGUAAUACAUCGGAACGUGCCCGAUCGUGGGGGAUAACGAGGCGAAAGCUUUGCUAAUACCGCAUACGAUCUACGGAUGAAAGCGGGGGAGCUUCGGACCUCGCGCGGACGGAGCGGCCGAUGGCAGAUUAGGUAGUUGGUGGGAUAAAAGCUUACCAAGCCGACGAUCUGUAGCUGGUCUGAGAGGAUGAUCAGCCACACUGGGACUGAGACACGGCCCAGACUCCUACGGGAGGCAGCAGUGGGGAAUUUUGGACAAUGGGCGAAAGCCUGAUCCAGCCAUGCCGCGUGCAGGAUGAAGGCCUUCGGGUUGUAAACUGCUUUUGUACGGAACGAAAAGCCUCUUUCUAAUAAAGAGGGGUCAUGACGGUACCGUAAGAAUAAGCACCGGCUAACUACGUG
rnacentral:rRNA from 1 species